GACGAACGCUGGCGGCGUGCUUAACACAUGCAAGUCGAACGAAGUGGCGCACGGGUGAGUAACGCGUAAUCAACCUGCCCUUCAGAGGGGGACAACAGUUGGAAACGACUGCUAAUACCGCAUACUUAAGGAGGGGAUUGCGUCUGAUUAGCUAGUUGGGGGGGUAACGGCCCACCAAGGCGAUGACCAGUAGCCGGACUGGGAGGAUGAACGGCCACAUUGGGAAUGAGACACGGCCCAGACUCCUACGGGAGGCAGCAGUGGGGAAUCUUCCGCAAUGGACGAAAGGCUGACGAAGCAACGCCGCGGGAGGGAGGACGGCCUUCGGGUUGUAAAGCUCUGUUAAUCGGGACGCGGUACCGGAAUAGAAAGCCACGGCUAACUACGUGCCAGCCGCCGCGGUAAUAC
rnacentral:rRNA from 1 species